GUGUGAGCGCUCUUGGAACAAUUCUAAAGAAUGUAUUAUUUGACAACAUAAAGGGACUAUGGAACAGUUGGCUCCAUGAUUGUCUUAUCAACAUAUGCUGGCAGAAGCUUGUCACCAUUUGUGAUGGGAUGAUUCCAACAAUGAGAGCUUUAAGAUGCUUUAUCUAUCUGUCUUCUAAUUGAUUAUGAGAUCCCUUGCAUCGUCCUUCUGACAUGUAGAAAGAGUGAUACUGUUCAAAUGGAGAUUGGGCUCCACACUUAAAAAUUAUUGAUUAGAACUGUUCUACCAUGGGGAUAUGGGACCAUGCAAUAAAAUAUCGCCACAUCAUUUGGUGAUUCAAAAUUCAAAUCUUGCCGCUUGGUUGAAAGGUUUGAAUAGAAGUAUGAUUUAUGGAUAACCAUAGCCAUUUCGAAUCCAAUCGUUGCUCGAUUUUUUAAUCUUGCUAAAUGAUGUGGUGAUGUUUUAUUGGAUAGCCCAAAAUUCAUAUGGUAGAACAUUUCUAACUAAUAAUUUCUUCUCCACGUUGAGCUCUCACACCAUCGGUGAAUAUUCUUUUAUUGGCAUAAUAAUAAUGAAGAGUUUCAUGGAACAAUGUCUUAAAAAAGUAGCAUGGAUAAGAAUACGUGGAUAGUUGCCACCA
rnacentral:lncRNA from 1 species